GAGAGCAGCAAUAGCCCCUCUCCCUUGUGACCCUACUUUAAUUCUCUGCAUUGUGCUCCCAUUGUCUGGUCGUUUCUUUACCUGUGAUUUCUUCUUGGCUAAUUUGUUUUCUGCCUAGGACCACAAAACUUCUGACAGCCACAAUUGAGAAAGAAGAAAAACACAGCACAAGAAUGACUGAUUCUGCCAUCAUCACCUUUAUAAAAUGGAUUUCAAGUCCCCACUGUAGAGAGCCAAUGUGCAACCAACUCCAUGUUCUCAGGAGACAAAGCUAAAUGAAUAAACCACCAACUUCAAUGAAGCAAACAAAAGGAAAAGUCAACUCAGAUGCCAGAGGAAACCAUAGGAAAAGAUCUGACGGCUGCCAAGCUGUGCCGAAGUGGUCUAGGGAACAUACAAAAAAGCAAAAAGGCUCAUCAGAAGCAUGGCAGAUGAUCAACAUUGCUCAUUCUAAGCCCUGUCUGCAACACCAAAACGAAACCUAUUAGGAACCAUGGUUGAGUAUAAAAAUGUGUCCUUGUGAACCACGUCUUUAAAAGCCUCUGCUCCUGGGGUGAGAGAUGCACAUUUUUGUCACCUUACCCUCACCCUUGUAUCAUCUCAAGCAAUUGCAUUAUCACAA